rnacentral:rRNA from 1 species
UACGUAGGGCGCAAGCGUUGUCCGGAAUUAUUGGGCGUAAAGCGCGCGUAGGCGGCUCCGCAAGUCGGCCGUGAAAUCUCCGGGCUCAACUCGGAGGGGUCGGGCGAGACUGCGGGGCUCGAGGUGGGCAGAGGGCAGUGGAAUUCCGGGUGUAGCGGUGAAAUGCGCAGAUAUCAGGAGGAACACCGGUGGCGAAGGCGGGUCUCUGGGCCGAUAUCGACGCUGAGGAGCGAAAGCGUGGGGAGCGAACAGG